GUAACAGUAAGCUUCACAAGAGAUAAUCCAUGCCAAUGACAACCUCAAACAAACCAUCAAGUCAACUCAUCAUACAUCACAUUUACCGCUAACAGCAGCAAUACAUCAUACAUCAUAGAGAACGGUUCACACAAACUAACAAACUAAACUAGAGACACAUCAUAAGCUCACAAGCAUGGCUGCCGCAGCAAUUUGUUUCGCCAGUAAAGACAACGACUUUCUUCCUCGACCAGACAGCGGCUUAGCUCACAUCCUCUAUCUCCUAACAGGAGGAUCACCACCACGUCCACCAGAAGCCUGCAUGAAUGUUUUGGCAAGUCCAAGUGUGUUAGUGACUAUACAUACGGCUGUAUCUGUAUAUUAAUAAAUAACAACAGCAGAGCAGGUGUACAUCAAAGACAUGGACUAGAAGACAAACUGACUGUUAGUACCAUCUACUUCCAGUUCAAAUUAAGCAGAUUUCUAUGAUAGGUCGAUCUAAAUGUAGCACAUCCAUACAUAUACUUAAGUUGUUAAACAGAACAAUAAAUCAUGGACUCGAGCACAUUCAUACAUAUACUUAAGUUGUUAAACAGAAUCAUAGAAUGCCAUCACGUAAUCCAGAAAAAUUGAACACAUAUAUGCAUGCUUGUCCAAGUUUAAUUCCAGAGAAUUAAAGUGCUUCCGAUAGUAACCAAAUUGUUUUAAUACUCAGCCAUCCAGUACCACACAGGAAGCAAAUCCUAAAAUAAAAAUGCACUUCUGAACAGAGCGACACACUACAAGAACUUACCAAUAGGGUUGAACAAUGGAUGACAUACAGUACAAGAAAAAGAGUAGGAGAAUGGAUUCUGAUAGAAUGUUGCAUCUUCCAAAUGAAGACAAUUUGCUUUUGGAGCUAGCUAGCACUUGGAAGAAUCUGGAAUCAGCCGAGAUUAAGAAUCUGGAAUCAGCCGAGAUUAAGAAUCUGUAAUGCAAAAACCAUAACCAUUGAAGAUUUAAAGAAUCUAUGAAGUGAGUUCACUCUCUUUCUAGAUAUUUUGAUAGUUUUGAGUCAACACACAUAUUGAAGUAAGCGGCCAUAUCAUUUAUAUAUGCUGGCCAAACACUACCCUUGAGCAACAUCUCAAUUAAGCACAAGUAACAAAGUAGAGGAGAUGGAUCAAUCAUAGCAAGGGUUUAGGAUAAUGCCCUCAAACUUGUAUAUGUCAAGUAUUUAGAAACAAAACAGUGUCACAUUUAUGGAAAUAGAGGGACUAAAAAGAUAUACGAGCAUAAGGUCUUCAAUAAGUAGACUCGAAGGCAAAUGACAUCACAGAGAAGAUAAAAGCACAAGGUGACUGCAGUGACUAGGCUACAAGUUAAUACAAUUAACACAAGUUAAUACAAGCCUGAUGUACUACUCAGGCUAAGAAGAAGCAGGUGCAGUAGUAGUUUUAGCACACUAGUACAUGUGUUAAAAUGGAAGCAUCGCUGGUGGGUUAUAUUAAUGAAUAAUCCAAGUGUUGCAAGAGCCAACAAAAUUUAAAAAAAAAUCUCGGAAGCAUGCUUGGAACCCACACGUUACAUAUCUAUGCAUAUAUCCCCAUACAACAACAGAACCAAUACAGCAACUAAGCCUAUAAAUUUUUUGCUCCCAGCCAGCAUCAUGAAUUUUCUCAGCUAGUACUAACUACCAAGCUGGUCACUGCCUCAGCCAUACUACAGUAAGACGUCCUUAUAUACUACUCCAUACAAUACUGGAGUAGAAAAUAAAGAAGCAGUUUUCAGCUGACAGUACGCCACGGCGCAGCCAAAUAAACAGCGGCAGCAUACCAAAAUUCGCAACUAGAGGAAGAGAAAGGGGCACAGGGGAGGGAGGGAGGGCAGAUGGGGAUGGGGGGAUUACCCAGCCCUGGAUCUCCUCCCGGACGAUGUAGAAGGGGUCCUGCGCGGAGCUCAUGGCGGACGCCGGAGGUUGGUGAGGUCGGCGAGGGGCAGCUGCUGCCUCCGAGGACGCAGCCGCAGCAGCAGCAUCUUGUCGCCUCCUCCGGCUCCGGCUCCGGCGAUUGCCGCGGUCCGGCCAGCUCGACGAAGCGCCGUGCAUUGAAGCACGCACGCGCGCGCCGGCGAGC
rnacentral:lncRNA from 1 species